AGCUCCAGUAGCGUAUAUUAAAGUUGUUGCAGUUAAAAAGCUCGUAGUCGAACUUCGGGUCGAGCCGGGUGGUUCUCCUUAUGGAGAUACUGCCUGGCUUUACCUUAUCUCUUGGUGAGGCCCCAUGCCCUUUACUGGGUGUGGGUGUGGAACCAGGAAGUUUACCUUGAGAAAAUUAGAGUGUUCAAAGCAGGCAUACGCCCGAAUACAUUAGCAUGGAAUAAUAGAAUAAGACGUGCGGUCUUAUUUUGUUGGUUUCUAAGAUCGCCGUAAUGAUUAAUAGGGACGGUCGGGGGCAUUAGUAUUCCGUUGCUAGAGGUGAAAUUCUUAGAUUGACGGAAGACUAACUUCUGCGAAAGCAUUUGCCAAGGACGUUUUCA
rnacentral:rRNA from 1 species